GCCAAACAAAUGAAGCCUUUGUAGGAACACAAGAGGGUGACUGGUAACCUGGCCGCUGUACUCGUCCCCUCCCUCCCUCCCGCCUCCCCACCCCGCAAUGUGCUAUGAUUUCUUCUUUUGGCUUGUUUGAAUUUCCUUAUAUGUUUGAGUGACGUUUUCUAGCUCAGUGUCUGGCAGGAAAAGUGAGGCUAAGGGUUGGCAAAGAGGGUGACACGGCCUGUCUCCCCUCUGUCUUCCCCACUCCCAGCCUCAGCACAGUAUCAGACGUUGCCGUGUCCCCCACUGUGGACAGCAUCCUCCAAUUCUGUGGCUGUGUAAGGAUGGAAGCAGAGAGGAUGGAGGAGAGGCUCUUCUCCCUUGCUGAAACACUGCCCUGGAGCACUGGGUCAAAGCAGGCCUCCUUGUUGGUGGUCAGGCAGGUGGCUGCGCUUGUUGUUGGUCAGUUGCUUAGUCGUAUCCAACUCUCUACAACCCCAUGGACUGCAGCAUGCCAGGCUUCCCGGUCUAUCACUAACUCCCAAAGCUUGCUCAAACUCAUCGGUUUACUUUAGAGACCGAUUUGCCAGCCAGGAGGGGUGAACAGUGGCCCCCAGAAUGAAGCUGGCCUUCAAGAGGGAACCUGGUUAUGAAGUGAUGCCAGGAUUCAGUGGGACACCAACAGUUCAGUUCAGUUGCUCAAUUUCAGGACAUGUCUGAGUGACUGAACUGAACUGAACUGAUGUCCCAGGGCAGGAUAUAGUGACGUCUCAGCUCAAGCAGAGAGCGAAUUCUUCCUUCUGCUACCUAUUUGUUCUACUCAGGCCCUCAACGAACUAGAAGAAGCCCACUUUUUUCUACAAGGGCCACCUUUAUUCAUCUUUAAAAAACACUUGCUCCUUGGAAGAAAAGCUAUGACAAACCUAGACAGCAAAAUUAAAAAGCAGAGACAUCACUUUGCCCACAAACGUCUGUAUAGUCAAAAUUAUGGUUUUUCCAGCAGUCACAUAAGAAUGUGAGAGUUGAGCCAUAAAGAAGAUUGAGCG
ensembl:lncRNA